AACGCACGGUCAUUCCACUAGUAAAAUUUUACUAGCCGUAAAAAAAGGGUGUAUGUAGUAGCAUAUAUAUUGACGUCAAUGUCCUGUUAUCACAAUCACAAAUGAGUAAACAGUUGGUGUAAAAUUUCCUUCCUUUGCUCCCGUUGGAAAUUUCCUAUUUUCACACGGCCCAGUCGUUCUUUUCUUCUUCUUGUUUUCUGCGUUCAG
rnacentral:lncRNA from 1 species